rnacentral:rRNA from 1 species
CUACGGGCGGCUCCAGUGAGGAAUAUUGCACAAUGGGGGGAACCCUGAUGCAGCAACGCCGCGUGGAGGAUGACGCAUUUCGGUGUGUAAACUCCUUUUAUAUGUCAAGAAAAUGACGGUAGCAUAUGAAUAAGCACCGGCUAACUCCGUGCCAGCAGCCGCGGUAAUACGGAGGGUGCAAGCGUUACUCGGAAUCACUGGGCGUAAAGGACGCGUAGGCGGGUUGGAAAGUCAGGUGUGAAAUCCUACAGCUUAACUGUAGAACUGCACUUGAAACUUCUAAUCUAGAGUAUGGGAGGGGGGGAUGGAAUUAGUGGUGUAGGGGUAAAAUCCGUAGAUAUCACUAGGAAUACCUAAAGCGAAGGCGAUCUCCGGGAACAUUACUGACGCUAAGGCGUGAAAGCGUGGGGAGCAAACAGGAUUAGAUACCCCGGUAGUC